GGGGCCAUAGCUCAGUUGGGAGAGCGCUUCACUGGCAGUGAAGAGGUCAGGGGUUCGAUUCCCCUUGGCUCCACCA
rnacentral:tRNA from 2 species